AUGCUAGACAGUACCCAAAGAAGUGAAAGCAUGAAUAAUGAACUAAAGCGGUACAUUAGUAUUAAAUAUGAGAUGCUUACUUUUUUUGAGCAUUUUGAGCGGCUCGUUGCGGAUAAAAGAUUUAUAGAGGUGAAGUGUGACUUCAAGGCGUCACAAACUACUCCCAAGAUGAAGGCGGAAGGUAGCUAUGUAUUAAGGCAAGCUGCAACUACAUAUACUCCCGCAAUAUUCAAGAUGUUUCAGGAGCAAGUGCUUCGGACCCUGAACUAUGACACAUUUCUUUGUGAUAAUAGUGAUAAAGAGAUGAAGGUUUAUACAGUAAAAUUUCAUGGCACGCAACGUGAGCAUGUUGUCAGAUUUUAUCCGAACGAAGAAAGAGUCAAUUGCAGUUUU
rnacentral:rRNA from 1 species